rnacentral:rRNA from 1 species
GACGAACGCUGGCGGCGUGCUUAACACAUGCAAGUCGAACGAAGUGGCGAACGGGUGAGUAACGCGUGAGUAACUGCCCCCCUCUCUGGGAUAACAGUUGGAAACGGCUGCUAAUACCGGAUAGUGGGGGAUGACUCGCGGCCUAUCAGCUUGUUGGGGGGGUGAUGGCCUACCAAGGCGGUGACGGGUAGCCGGCCUGAGAGGGUGACCGGCCACAUUGGGCUGAGAUACGGCCCAGACUCCUACGGGAGGCAGCAGUGGGGGAUAUUACACAAUGGGCGAAAGCCUGAUGCAGCGACGCCGCGGGGGGGAUGAAGGCUUUCGGGUUGUAAACCUCUUUCGCUAUCGAAAGGGUAGGUGGAGAAGAAGCGCCGGCUAACUACGUGCCAGCAGCCGCGGUAAUUC